ACUCGGGGAUAGCCUUUCGAAAGAAAGAUUAAUAUCCGAUAGCAUAUAUUUCCCGCAUGGGUUUUAUAUUAAAGAAAUUCGGUAUGAGAUGGGGAUGCGUUCCAUUAGUUUGUUGGGGGGGUAACGGCCCACCAAGACUACGAUGGAUAGGGGUUCUGAGAGGAAGGUCCCCCACAUUGGAACUGAGACACGGUCCAAACUCCUACGGGAGGCAGCAGUGAGGAAUAUUGGUCAAUGGACGCGAGUCUGAACCAGCCAAGUAGCGUGAAGGAUGACUGCCCUAUGGGUUGUAAACUUCUUUUAUAUGGGAAUAAAGUUGUCCACGUGUGGAUUUUUGUAUGUACCAUAUGAAUAAGGAUCGGCUAACUCCGUGCCAGCAGCCGCGGUAAUACGGAGGAUCCGAGCGUUAUCCGGAUUUAUUGGGUUUAAAGGGAGCGUAGGCGGAUUGUUAAGUCAGUUGUGAAAGUUUGCGGCUCAACCGUAAAAUUGCAGUUGAUACUGGCAGUCUUGAGUGCAGUAGAGGUGGGCGGAAUUCGUGGUGUAGCGGUGAAAUGCUUAGAUAUCACGAAGAACUCCGAUUGCGAAGGCAGCUCACUGGAGUGUAACUGACGCUGAUGCUCGAAAGUGUGGGUAUCAAACAGGAUUAGAUACCCUGGUAGUCCACACAGUAAACGA
rnacentral:rRNA from 1 species